rnacentral:misc_RNA from 1 species
AGUAGAUCCGCUAAUAAUAAUAUACCGACUUCCAAACUGAAUAGUGCCUUGAACUGGGGGACAUGUAGGAACAACUAUAUGUCGCAAAGCAAGCACCGGUGAUGACAAAGGAGUCAACAAAGCAACAUCAAACCAGAGUCGAUAGGGUAAUAAAAGAGCUCGUAGUGUAACUGUGGCGUCUGAACAUGCAACAACUACGAAACAGACUGAACACCUGAUGCCUGCAACCUGAACAAGAAAAGCAGUAACUGCGAGAUAUCUCCAAUCAUUUUCAAAUAUAUCUGGAAGGCAUGAUUCUGAAUAGCUUCUCUUGUCUUCUGAGGAAAAU